UACAGGGGGUGCAAACGUUGCUCGGAAUCAUUGGGCGUAAAGCGCACGUAGGCGGUGUGUCACGUCGGCCGUGAAAACCUGCAGCUUAACUGUGGGCGUGCGGUCGAUACGGGCAUCACUGGAGUUCGGCAGGGGAGACUGGAAUUCCUGGUGUAGCGGUGAAAUGCGCAGAUAUCAGGAGGAACACCGGUGGCGAAGGCGGGUCUCUGGGCCGAUACUGACGCUGAGGAGCGAAAGCGUGGGGAGCGAACAGG
rnacentral:rRNA from 1 species